GGACAUGUGCUCGAAAGAUAGAGACCACUUUGAUAGAGUGGGGCAUAAAGGUUCAAACCCUCUCAUGUCCU
rnacentral:tRNA from 1 species